rnacentral:misc_RNA from 1 species
AUGUACGCUACUUCAACGGCUUCAACUACGACAUCAGGGUCGGGACGGGCAGCGGGAGUGGCUUCAACGGAGCGCCGAGUGCGAGUCUUGAGGUUGCUACGCCCCCGCAGAUCUACUCCCGCAUUUGGUUUCUCGUUACGAGGUGGGAAAGAAUAUGGCUCCGGUUUCUUCAUUUCGAAAGUAGAGUUUAAUUCGGAAGCCCACCUCCAGGGCCUAAAGGUCGGUGACCAGUUGGUUAGCGUUAAUGGAUAUAGAGUAGACGAUGCAGUCCACGGAGAAUUAAUUCACUACCUCGCUUCUCAAUCCAGACUCAAAAUUAAAGUGAGACAUAUUGGCAUGUUACCAGUCAAAGAGAAAGGACACGAAGCUCUAUCGUGGCAAUUCGUGUCGGAACGUGCAUCGCUCGGGUCCGACGUGUCAUCUUCUCCAACGCUUUGUCAUGACACGGAAGGACUUGUGGAUCUACGCCUUUCAAUCUUGGUUCCACCCCGAGCCAAACUCGGUUGUGGGAUUUGUAAAGGACCUGAAUGGAAACCGGGGAUAUUUGUUCAGUUUGUAAGGGAAGGAGGGAUUGCGAGAGAGGCAGGAUUACGUCCAGGUGAUCAAAUAUUAUCCUGCAAUGGCACAGAUUUCGGCAAUAUCGCCUUUAAUGAGGCUAUAACGGCAAUGAAAGCAACGGGACGCUUAGAACUGGUGAUACGCGAAGGCGCCGGGACUGAACUAGUAUCGCCGGAGAGCUCAGGGUAUAACAGCUCCGCUUCGUCUGCGGCGGGAGAGAGAAGUCCCGCGCCCACGCCGCACGUACCGCUCGCACCUCCUGCAGCUUUACGCCGCCGUCUCGCGAGCGUCGCUGAAGAAGCGGCCGAUCGCGCCGACAGGCUGACCAUGAAUAGACUGAAAAGACGCACUUGGGACAGCUUAGAUUUCGAUUGGAAGCACAAGGAUAUUCAUAACUUUGAUGCUCCCUCCGAUAUAGAACCCGAUUACGAUUGUCCAAGCAUACCAAACAAUCCACAUACGUUUGAAAAUAAAGCAAAAACUAGGAAUAAUAAUAAUAACAAAAGUGUUAAAGAAUUUGUAACGAAUCCAUCGAAUAAAACAAUAAUUAAUUUAACGGAAGACGGUGCAACUAUACAAUGUAGUUACGAUAGUAAUCAGUCUCCAAGGAAAAGUACUUUUUCGUUGAAUAAUGGAGGCAGAGGGAACGACAAGAAGACAAUCGUAGUUGAGCUACACCACACCAAUACUACAACAUGUGGGAAGCCGGCUUGUAAUAACUUUAUUCCUCCACCUAUGAUGGAGGCUAGUUCAGAUAGUACCAGUGUUUCAAGCACGGUAUCUUUAUCAAAUGCUAUUGCAGAAGAAAUAUUAAGAAGAAAACAGAUGAAAAAAUCUACGAACACCGAAAACGUUCCCCCUCCUGUUGUGCCUAAAAAAAUAGUAACAAAAACUGUUGACAAUGACAAGAAAAAACAACACGACGCUCUCAUGGACGAAUUUAAAAAAGUGCACAGGAAAAUGUUUGCUAAUCUGGAUAUUACUGACAAAGAAACAGCAACGCAUAACAUAGACAAUAGCGAUCCAAUGGACAGACAACCUACUUUGCCGCUCAAGAAAACCGAUCACCUUCCGUUCGAGGCUACAAAUGAUCCUCCAAUACCCAAACGCGAAACUACAGAGGAUCCACCGCCUCCACCACCGAUGCCAAUAACAAACGGUCUACAAAACGGAAACCAUUUGGCGAAAGCUGAUAACAUAUUAAAGACAGUUUUAGACCUUAAAACUUCAAAUUGUAGAAAAAACGGUACUCUAACUCGAACUCCGACACCAGACUACGUCGACAAGGCACACGUUCAGCUAAAAACUGUCAAAGACGAAAAAGCUGAACUAGAAUCACUCGAAUCUUAUAAACUUAAGAAUCCCGUUAAUGUCGCACCAAAGCCGCCAUCAAAUUAUUUCGUAAAAGCACCAAAUGGAACUACGACCAUGAAGAAAAAUGCAAGACCCGUGUCAGUAACUAUAUGUGAAUAUUCAAACAACGGCAACAGUAGACGUGAACCAACGAAGUUAGACUUUUUAGGUACUGAUAUGCCAGAUGGAAUUUUAAGCGAUGGGAAUGAUAUACCUAUCACGAACAGACUGCAAUCAGAACUAGCUUUAACUUUGUCUAGAUCUAAUUUACGUAAGAAAACUGAAGCUUUGGUCAAAUCCAUAAGUGGAAAUAUUAAUUUGAAUUUUGAUGAUACCGGUAGUGACAGUACAUCUAUAGACAAAAAUUUUCAUGCCAGAUAUGGCAACAAUCUCUUACCCCUACCGCCUUCGAUAUCUAUACCUAAAGUAACAAGCAAAAUUGAGAAUUGACCUAAAACUGAUGUAAUACCUACAUUAAAAAUAAAAACUACAAAACAUACCACCUCAACAAAACCAAAAACGACGCGAGUCGAUAGACUUAGAAAAUUGGG